AUUGAACGCUGGCGGAAUGCUUUACACAUGCAAGUCGAACGGCAGCACGGACUUCGGUCUGGUGGCGAGUGGCGAACGGGUGAGUAAUGUAUCGGAACGUGCCCAGUCGUGGGGGAUAACGUAGUGAAAAUUACGCUAAUACCGCAUACGAUCUAUGGAUGAAAGCGGGAGAUCGCAAGACCUCGCGCGAUUGGAGCGGCCGAUAUCAGAUUAGGUAGUUGGUGGGGUAAAGGCCCACCAAGCCAACGAUCUGUAGCUGGUCUGAGAGGACGACCAGCCACACUGGAACUGAGGCGCAGUCCAGACUCCUACGGGAGGCAGCAGUGGGGAAUUUUGGACAAUGGGCGAAAGCCUGAUCCAGCCAUUCCGCGUGCAGGAUGAAGGCCCCCGGGUUGUAAACUGCUUUUGUACAGAACGAAAAGGUUUCUACUAAUACUAGGAGCUCAUGACGGUACUGUAAGAAUAAGCACCGGCUAACUACGUGCCAGCAGCCGCCGUAA
rnacentral:rRNA from 1 species